rnacentral:rRNA from 1 species
UACGUAGGGGGCAAGCGUUGUCCGGAAUCAUUGGGCGUAAAGCGCGUGUAGGCGGCCCGGUAAGUCCGCUCUGAAAGUCCAGGGCUCAACCCUGGGAUGCGGGUGGAUACUGCCGGGCUCGAGUCCGGAAGAGGCGAGUGGAAUUCCUGGUGUAGCGGUGAAAUGCGCAGAUAUCAGGAGGAACACCAAUGGCGAAGGCAGCUCGCUGGGACGUGACUGACGCUGAGACGCGAAAGCGUGGGGAGCAAACAGG